ensembl:lncRNA
GUAGUGUUAGUCUUGAUAAUGCCUCAUCUUCUCCAUCACGGCAGGAAAACAUUUUGAGUUACACACGUCCCUGAAUAGGCAAAGGAAUAAAGGUUUAUCUGUUGUCAGGAAUUAAAGAUGCAAAAAGUGGGGGGUUAAGACUGAUGAGCCCUGGGUUCUAGCAGCAUAUCCCCAAGCAAGGAUUUCUGGAGCCACAGUGAACACAGGAAAGCAGCACCCAAUGGGCACUGAAAUAUUAACUAAUGAUGAGUUGCCCUGAGUCAGCAGGUGCCUGGGCACUGGGACUAGAUCAUUUUUCAGAGCCAGGCAGGCAAGGCAGAGAAUUGGAUUUACCCUGCUGUUGUUGGCUUGAAGAUGGAAGGAGCCAUGUGGAUAGUGUGAAAAAGAAGUGAAUUCUGCCCAGCCACCACUGAGACCCCCUGAGCCUCAGAUGAGAACUGACUACUUCCUGACUGAUAGCUUGAUUUCAGCCUGUGAGAACCUGAGCAAAGAACUCAGCUGUGCCUAGACUUCUGAUC